ensembl:lncRNA
UGUGAUGCAAAAUAACAUGAAAUUCAUAUUUCAGUGCCACUAAUAAAGCCAUGUUUAUGCCUUACAUACUAAUUAUGACUGCUUUCAUGCUCCAAGGGCAAAUUUUAGUGGUUGUGAUAGAGACCAUGUAGCCUGAAAAGACUACAAUAUUGACUGUCUAGCGUUUUACUCAGAGAAGGCAAUGGCAACCCACUCCAGUACUCUUGCCUGGAAAAUCCCAUGGACUGAGGAGCCUGGUAAGCUGCAGUCCAUGGGGUCACUAAGAGUUGGACAGGACUGAGUGACUUCACUUUCACUUUUCACUUUCAUGCAUUGGAGAAGGAAAUGGCAAGCCACUCCAGUGUUCUUGCCUGGAGAAUCCCAGGGACACGGGAGCCUGGUGGGCUGCCGUCUAUAGGGUCGCACAGAGUCGGAUACGACUGAAGCAACUUAGCAGCAGUAGCAGUAGCAUUUUACUGAAAAAAAUUUGGCAAUUCCUUCUUUAGAAGAAUAGGAGGGUGUCUGUAGACCAAACCAUGCAUUGAAUAUCCAUUUCCUAGUCUCUUAUGUGAAAAAUGAUACUUACAAAUGCAGGAAAGGAAUCAGAAUGAUAGAGAUUCAUUCUUAACUCUGUUGGGGUUUUUGUACAGUAAACUUGGAGAUACCUGUCUUUUAACUUGGCAGGGUCACAAAUGAGUCAAGGAAAAAUCCUUUUCCAGUUUAAUAAAUUUAUGUUAUAGAUAAUUUUAACUAUAGAUAAAAAAACAUCAUAAAGAGAAUAAAAGGGCAAGCUGGGAAAAGGUAUUUCCCUCAAAUAAAAUCCAGAUUGAAUAGUACCCAGAUCAUAUAAGGAAUUUCCGGGUGGUCCAGUGGUUGGGACUCUGUGCCUUCAAUGCAGGGGCUCAAGUUUGAUCCCUGGUCAUGGAACUAACAGCCCACAUGCUGUGCAGUGCAGCCAAAAGCUAUUUAAAAAAAAAACACAUUUCCUAUACCCCAAAGUUCUUUCUUUAAAAAAAAUUAUCUUACUAAAUUUACUAAAAUUAAUGAUGCAUUCUCUUGCCAGGAAGACUUUGGUAAAGUCCAACCUCCAUAGCUCAGCAUUCGAAAGCCCAAUCUUCCUUUCCCAGUCUUAUUUCCCAAGUGUCUCUUCCCUCACUCCUCUCCCUAAUCUGAUGCUCCAGCUUCAUGGAUCCAUUAGCUGUUCCCAAGUACACCCAGCACUUCCUCAUGCCCCACUUUGCUUCCUGGGCUUGGAGAGUACCCUCCAUCUCUCAUCACCCCCACAACAUUGCUCAUCAGUGAAGGUUCAGCUUAAAUUCUGCCUUCUCUGAAAUGGCCUCUCAGAUCCCUCCAGUUCGAUCUCUCCUGCUUCGACACAGAGUCCUUUAUACCUUGUAAUCCAGUCUGCCUUGAGGCACUUGUUUAUGUACUGAUCUCCUUCUUGUCCAGCUCGGAGUACAAGGAUUAUAUCCCUGCACUGAGUAUGUUCCUCAGUCCUUGGUAUCGAGUAGAUAUCCAUACAUUUAAAACCUUUUUGUUUUGAAAUAAUAGUCACAGAAAGUUGCAAAAAUUGUGCAGAGAGAUUCCUUGUACUCUUCAGCCAGCCUUUCCCAAUGGUAAUGUCUUACAUUAUCCUCGGUACAAGAGACAUCCAUAAGUUUUUAUUUGGUGGUUUAUCUUGGUUUAACUACCAGUUCUUUUUGUGUAACUUGCAAUCAUAUUUCAAAUCUUCUUCCUCAGCAUCUAGAUCAACUUUCCACAAAAUGUUCUGGUCUCAUGUAGCCAGAUUAAGUGUAAAAUAACUGCUUCAAAAAGCCCCUAAAUUUCAUUGGUUUGGAAAGGCAUGUGUUGCAAUAAAAAAAUCACCUGGCUAGAUUUUCAGUGUAGCAGAAUUUUAUCUUUCAGGGAGUCAAGCUAUGUGUGUAAGUGUUUAGAGCUUUGGACCCACAGGUUGGAGUAUUUAUGAAGAUUAGUGUAGUUCUGUGGUGUAAAUCCUUGCCUUUUCUCAUUUACGUGCUCUGGUUUAAUUUGUUUUUAUAGUUCUGUACUUUGUGACUCUAAAGUCCAACUUUUAUAGAACCAUGGCACCUUUCAAAAUACAUGAGUGGACAUAAAGUGUUCAAUAAUAGAUUGACAAAAACGUUCGCUCUCUUCUCUAGAAACGCUUAAUUUCUGGAUCAAGAUCAGAAAAGCAAAUUUCACAAUAGAAUCCCUGAGAUGUUGUAAUUGUGUUUUUUAUCUGAUAUUUCGAAAGCAAUUUAUGGUUGGAAACUGAUUUUCCUCAGAGACACAGUUCUUAGUGGUCUGUCCUAUUUAUAUCCUUUAACUGUUUUUUAUUUAUUAUUGUUUUCUGAGUUCUCAUCCCACUGCUUUAAAAUGUUUUCCAUGGUAUGACUUGAGCAUUGGAGGGAAUCUCCUUCCUCAAAAAUUCCUUCUUCAGCAAUUUGUGGUAAAGCGCCACAAUGAGUUAUUCCUAUCUUUGGAUUGGGGCUUUUAGGAUAAGCAGGUAGGUCAGAUUUCCAUGUUAGGUUAGGUCGUUAUCAGAAACACUUUAGGAGUGAUGCUUUUAUCAGAAAGUCUUUCCUCUGAGACAGCUGAGAGAGAAUGACUCCAAACAAAGAGCCAUGCAAGGAACUUGUGAGAGACAGCUGGAGCUGCCCACCCCCAACACGGAUGAGCACAGGAAUCACCUGGAGAUCCUCUGAUGAGGCAGGUUCUAAGUUAGCAAAUCUGGAGAGCAAGUGCAGGGAGGGUUUUCAGUCCUAACGAGCUCCCAGGUAAUGCUGAUGCUGCCGGAAACCGGACCCCAUGUUGAGUCAUAAGGGACUGAAGGAUAUUCAGCCUUAGAAGGCUUGGGUGGAGGCAUGGCAAGGAGGAGGCCCCAAAAGCAGAAUGAGGAGAAACAGGGCUGUGGACAAUUAAAGGAUGAGAAAGACAAGGUUGGCUCACUUAAUUUUGGUUAAACGGUGCUUUCCAGGACAAAGAAGCGAUAUACAGAUAGAUUAAAUUUUUCUAUUUUAUAUUAUGUAUGUGUAUUAAGGGCUUCCCUCGUGGUCCGGAUGGUAAAGAAUCUGCCUGCAAUGCCGGAGACCCAGGUUCAGUCCCUGGGUCAGGCAAGAAUACUGGAGUGGCUUGCCAUGCCCUUCUCCAGGGGAUCUUCCUAACCCAGGGAUCAAACCCACGUCUCUUACAUCUCUUACAUCUCCUGCAUUGGCAGGCAGGUUUUACCACUAGCACCACCUGGGAAGCCAUGAGCUAUUAAGAAGCCAUAAGAUAUUAAGUACCUAAAAAUAACCCCACAUAGAGGCUCUGCCCCUUCUUGGCAACCUCCACCAUUACCCCACCUGCCUCCAACGCAGCGGUACUGCCCCACACAGGAGUGAGAACUGAAUUUUCAGUGACCCGCCAGUGGACAUGCAGGAAUGGGGCUGGGAUGAUCAGCCCAGGGGCACUUCAUCCCAUAUCCUGCAGGGGAUACAUUAUUUGGCUCUCUAGUCCACGGGGUCACUAAGAGUUGGACACGACUAAGCGACUUCACUUUCACUUUUCACUUUCAUGCAUUGGAGAAGGAAAUGGCAACCCACUCCACUAUUCUUGCCUGGAGAAUCCCAGGGAUGGGGGGAGCCUGGUGGGCUGCCAUCUAUGGGGUCUCACAGAGUCUGACACAACUGAAGCAACUUCGCAGCAGCAGCAGUGCUUAAAAUUUUCCAAAUGACCACAUGACUCCAAAUCAGCUUUGGUUUAUUUUGAAACAUGGCUCCCUUCCAAUCACUCCUCGUCCCAGUUGUCUAAAAGGGAUGCCUUGCAGAGCUGGAAGAGUGGCUCCUUUCUUUGUCAAGCUGGUAACUCCUGUUUAUUUUUCAUUUCUUCUUUGUGUUUUUUCCCAUUAACUUAAAAAAUAUUAAGCCAACAUUUUUAAAUUUGUGUGUAAUGUCUUUAAGAUAUUUUCUUAGUCUCCAAGACAAGGAUGAAGGUGAGAGGAGAACGCUGGAAGGAAAAAAUCUCUUGCCUAUGCAAGUGCUUACCUACAAAGAACAGAAAGAUUUCUCUAAAGCUAUUGCUUGAGAGAAAAAGAAGCUAUGGUCACUCAUGCACUUGAGGGCAAAGCUUUUGCCUUUAAAGACAUGAGUCCACCAAUGCCCCAAGCCACGUGCUCAGUGACCCCUUUGGGAGUGUUUACCUCCUGCCACCUGCCUGGUGUUUUGUCCCUAGCAAUCAACUCCAGAUAGAAGAAAAAUCUUUAUCUAGGCCAAAAGUUUCUCAAGUCAGGGCAUUUAGGGACAGAGAGAGAUCAUCAGGUGAAUUUAAGAGGGUGAUGACUGCCCUUAGAAUCAGGAGAAUUGGUCAUUCCAUUAGUGGGUUUGUUUCUCUAAUCCAGUGUAAGUUAUCAAAAUUCAAUUAUUGAUACAAAAGUGAAAGUGAAAUUCGCUCAGUUGUGUCCAACUCUUUGCGACCCCAUGGAGUAUACAGUCCAUGGAAUUCUCCAGGCCAGAAUACUGGAGUGGGUAGCCUUUCCCUUCUCCAGGGUAUCUUCUCAACCCAGGGAUCGAACCCAGGUUUCCCACAUUGCAGGCGGAUUCUUUACCAGCUGAGCCACAAAGGAAUUUUAUAAAUACCUACGCAUAGCAAUCAGCUGACUCUUUGGUACAAGGAUGGUAAUUAGUGCUCCAGAUAAAACAGGGAAAUAAAGGCAGAGCUCAGUUUAGGGUCAAGGAAUGUUAUAAAGGGGGGUUGGUGAGAAGACCGUCUGGUUUUCUUACUCCUUAUUCUACUCCUGGGCUACCCUUGUAGCUCCAUCAGUAAAAAAUCUGCCUGCAAUGCAGGAGACCCAGGUUCGGUUCCUGGGUCUGGAAGAUCCCCAGGAGAAGGAAAUGGCAACCCAUUCUAGUAUUCUUACCUGAAGAAUCCCAAGGACAGAGAAGCUUGGCAGGCCACAGUCCAUGGGGUCGCAAGAGUCAGACAUGACUUAGCGACUAAACAACGAAACAAUUCUACUCCUACUCCUACUCUGAGGAAAAGAAAGCCAAAUUUGUGUUUCAAGGAUUCUAUUCAAAGGAACUGAAGUGAGGAAGGAGAUGGGUGGUCAGGCCUGGAGUCAGGAGAGAACUGGUGAUAGUGGAGAGGUAAGAGUGAUGGUGGG